rnacentral:rRNA from 1 species
CAGGAUUCCCUCAGUAGCUGCGAGCGAACAGGGAUAAGCCCAGCACCGAAUCCCGCGGCCGGCACAGGACGCCGGGAAAUGUGGUGUUAGGGAGGAUCCAUUAUAUCGGGACAUCGCGAUGCGUCCAAGUCCUUCUUGAACGGGGCCAUUACCCAUAGAGGGUGCCAGGCCCGUAGCGACCGUCGCGCGUCCCGAUAGGAUCUCUCCUCAGAGUCGGGUUGCUUGAGAGUGCAGCCCUAAGCGGGUGGUAAACUCCAUCUAAGGCUAAAUAUGACCACGAGACCGAUAGCGAACAAGUACCGUGAGGGAAAGUUGAAAAGCACUUUGAAGAGAGAGUUCAAGAGUACGUGAAACCGUUCAGGGGUAAACCUGAGAAACCCGAAAGGUCGACGGGGAAAUUCAUGCGCGUCUCCGUUUCCGAUGCGUUUUGGGGGUUCUAUGCGACGCUCGGUUCUUCGGGAUCGAGCGCGCCCCCCGUUUCGCAACAGAUCGGAUCGGAACGCGUGCACUUUUCCCCUGUCGGACGUCGCGAUCCGUUGGGUGUCGGUCUGAGGCCCGCGGCGGAGCCCGGCCGGUCGUCCUCGUGGCGAUCGACCGGACCCGCGGUGUUUCCCGACCGACUACGCCCGACGGUGUGAAUGUGGCGCGGGGCGCGGCUCAGUUUCGCGUUCGGCCCGCGGCAAGCGCGGGCGAUGCGUCGGCAAUCGGACCUGGUGCCGAUUCCGACCCCGCUCGACUGUUGGCCGCGGCGUUCUCGAACAGUCCCCGUAUUAUGCGCGCGAGCGCAUAGCACGCCGAUCGGCGACGCUAUUGCUUUGGGUACUUUCAGGAC